GGCUUCUCGUCGUAGUGCGCAUGCGUAGGCUGUAGUCCUCUGGAAGAUUUUUUUCGUAAGACAAAAUUUAAGGUGUGAGCAGAGCCAUUAAAAAUUGUUAUGUGUAGGACAUGACCGGGAGAGACAGGUACAGUUACUGUAUAGCAACUGAAGUUGAUUUCCGGAAAUUAGUUCAAACAACAGUGGCAGAAAAAGAAAAAAGAAAACAACACAACAACAUCAUGAAAAAAAUAUAAGAAAAAGACAUGAUAUCCUAACAAUCUACUGGGAGCUUUUGGAGAAGAUAUGGAGACUGCUCUUUCAAAGUUUUAAUACUGAGGUAGAAAAGAUUAUGAAAUACUAAUAGAUUUUAAGCAAGCUAAGUUUAUUUCCAUAAGAGAUGGAAAAUAUUCUGUAGAUAGUCUUGUGUGAUUUUUCUUCCAGUAAUGUUUGAUUAAUUAAUAGAUACUGCAGACUAUUGUAUUUCUUUUUCACAGUACUUGUAUGAUUUUGUAUUUAUUGUUUUCAUCUGCUUUCAUUUACUUCUUCAUUACCCUUUUUUGCUUAAAUUACAAUCAUGUCACUUUCAUUGUAUAUGCAUUUACUAUUUUUUACACAUAAUUUGUAUGAAAAGAAAGUUGAACUCUAUUGUAUUCUGUGUUGAUACUGCAGAUGGAGUACGUACCUAACUUGGUAGCAUGAUUUACUAUAUUUUAGUGCUGUCUCAGCUCUGAUUGUCUAUGGAUAUAAGUGAGUCUGCUUUGACAGGGAUAUUUAUCCUGUAAGGUUUUAGUAGAAUGAUGAACAUAAAAAUAAAUGAUAACCUACAGACUACUAGGUGCACUUAAACUCAUACACUAACACUUCUGCCUUCAUAAAACCAGCAACCACCUAAAACACGCACUUGCACAGAAGCAUCAGUUCCUUUAUAUACAUAUGUACUUGCAACACUUCCUAAAAAUGGUUUCGUAAAGUAUGAGCAAUUCACAAGGGAAUACUGUAUGAGACCUCAGGACUGAAAAAAAAAAAGUUAAAAAGAAACUGAAUUAGUACAAUAUGUAGCGAUGAACAGUUAUUACAUACCAGCCCAUUUGUGAGAAUUCAUUAAAUGUAUUGAAGAAAGCAUGUCAUAUAAAUCCUAUUUCACCACAGGCCAAUGAGGCUUGCCAGAGACAGGCUUCUGGGAGACUGUUCAAAAAACAGGAAGAGGUUACACUACCACAAUGGGUAAAAGACUUAACAGAAGAUCUUCGCAGCCAUUUCUGUAGGUGCCUUCCACAGACAAGCCAUCAAAAUACAGGAAUUGUAUGUAUGGAGUUACCAGAAUGUGGUAAUUUCAUCAUUAGUCUUCAUGGAAACAGCAUGGGUUAGCCACGCUGCUCAUCAGCAGUGAGCCAAGCAGUCAAUGAAGGAUGGAGACCCCAAUGCAAUGGCAGUGCAUUUUAUGCAAAAUAACUACCUUUUGUGCCUUACUCUUUCUCUUCUGGGGAAAUAAAAAAAUACUUUCAAAAACAAGCCUAAGGGAAACUUUCAUAAAAGGAGAAUAAAAAUAUCUAUUUAUACUUCAAAAUACUGGCAUGUUGUUUUGACAUGUUGUUUCAGUUCAUAUGGUCUAAAAUUUCAGUGGGAAUAUUUACUACUAGCACUCACUUCUACUCUAUCCCUCAGUAACAUUUGCCAGACCCUUGCUGGUGCUGAUCAAUUUUUUCUCUACUUUUUUUUUUUUUAUUAUUUAAUCUUGAUUAGUACAAUUCAACCCCCUUCUGGAAUGCCCUAGAACAGUGGCAGUCUGAACAUGUAUGAGCCAUACUAUAAAAGGCACAAACCUAAGGAUCUGCACAUGCCCACCACGAGAGGACCAUGACUACAAGUAGAGACUGUUGCCGGAUCCAAGGGUAGUGGUGCCUUUUCUUAUCUCUCUCUGAUUUCACUUUUGACUGGAUCCAAGGUGAAGGAUAUCCUUACUUUUUGCUUCUCAGUCUCUGACUUCACUUUUGGCACAUAAAUAUAGCAUUGUUACAAAUUUUGAAUAUUGUUGGGUUUUUGCAAAGCUGUUUUCUGUUGUUACAAAUUUUGAAUAUUGUUGGGUUUUGCAAAGCUGUUUUCUGUUGUAAUUCUGGUGAGUUUUAAAUCAUUGAGGUUUGCUAAGCCACUAUUUUCUAUAAUUCCACUGAAUUUAUCUGGGGCUAAUAUUGUUGCAAGUUUUGCCAAACUGCUAUCUGUUGUAAUUCUGCUGAGUUUUAAGUAAAUUCAUGAUUCGUUUCAA